AACGUAGGUGGCGAGCGUUAUCCGGAUUUACUGGGCGUAAAGCGUGUGCAGGUGGCUUAUCAAGUGGUGUAUGAAAUAUCCAGGCUCAACCUGGAGGGGUUAUGCCAGACUGGUAGGCUAGAGUGCGAGAGAGGGGCGUGGAAUUCCGGGUGUAGUGGUGAAAUGCGUAGAGAUCCGGAGGAACCCCAGAGGCGAAGGCGGCGCCCUGGCUCGACACUGACGCUCAGACACGACAGCAUGGGGAGCGAACGGG
rnacentral:rRNA from 1 species